rnacentral:rRNA from 1 species
GAUGAACGCUAGCUACAGGCUUAACACAUGCAAGUCGAGGGGAAACGGCAUCGAAAGCUUGCUUUUGAUGGGCGUCGACCGGCGCACGGGUGAGUAACGCGUAUCCAACCUGCCCAUCACUUGGGAAUAACCUUGCGAAAGUAAGACUAAUGCCCAAUGACAUCCCACGAAGGCAUCCGAAUGGGAUUAAAGAUUUAUCGGUGAUGGAUGGGGAUGCGUCUGAUUAGCUUGUUGGCGGGGUGACGGCCCACCAAGGCAACGAUCAGUAGGGGUUCUGAGAGGAAGGUCCCCCACAUUGGAACUGAGACACGGUCCAAACUCCUACGGGAGGCAGCAGUGAGGAAUAUUGGUCAAUGGGCGAGAGCCUGAACCAGCCAGGUAGCGUGCAGGAUGACGGCCCUAGGGGUUGUAAACUGCUUUUAUAAGGGAAUAAAGUGGGUCACGUGUGACUUUUUGCAUGUACCUUAUGAAUAAGGACCGGCUAAUUCCGUG